AGAGUUUGAUCCUGGCUCAGGACGAACGCUGGCGGCGUGCCUAAUACAUGCAAGUCGAGCGCAGGAAACCAGUUGAACCCUUCGGGGUGAUUCUGGCGGAAUGAGCGGCGGACGGGUGAGUAACACGUGGGCAACCUGCCUGUAAGACUGGGAUAACUUCGGGAAACCGGAGCUAAUGCCGGAUAGUAUUUCCUUUCUCCUGAUUGGAAAUGGAAAGACGGUUUCGGCUGUCACUUACAGAUGGGCCCGCGGUGCAUUAGCUAGUUGGCGGGGUAAUGGCCCACCAAGGCGACGAUGCAUAGCCGACCUGAGAGGGUGAUCGGCCACACUGGGACUGAGACACGGCCCAGACUCCUACGGGAGGCAGCAGUAGGGAAUCUUCCGCAAUGGACGAAAGUCUGACGGAGCAACGCCGCGUGAGCGAUGAAGGCCUUCGGGUCGUAAAGCUCUGUUGUUAGGGAAGAACAAGUACGAGAGUAACUGCUCGUACCUUGACGGUACCUAACCAGAAAGCCCCGGCUAACUACGUGCCAGCAGCCGCGGUAAUACGUAGGGGGCAAGCGUUGUCCGGAAUUAUUGGGCGUAAAGGGCUCGUAGGCGGUUUCUUAAGUCUGAUGUGAAAGCCCACAGCUCAACUGUGGAGGGUCAUUGGAAACUGGGGAACUUGAGUGCAGAAGAGGAGAGUGGAAUUCCACGUGUAGCGGUGAAAUGCGUAGAUAUGUGGAGGAACACCAGUGGCGAAGGCGACUCUCUGGUCUGUAACUGACGCUGAGGAGCGAAAGCGUGGGGAGCAAACAGGAUUAGAUACCCUAGUAGUCC
rnacentral:rRNA from 1 species